rnacentral:rRNA from 1 species
GCUUCUAUGACGUUAGCGGCGGACGGGUGAGUAACACGUGGGCAACCUGCCUGUAAGACUGGGAUAACUUCGGGAAACCGAAGCUAAUACCGGAUAGGAUCUUCUCCUUCAUGGGAGAUGAUUGAAAGAUGGUUUCGGCUAUCACUUACAGAUGGGCCCGCGGUGCAUUAGCUAGUUGGUGAGGUAACGGCUCACCAAGGCAACGAUGCAUAGCCGACCUGAGAGGGUGAUCGGCCACACUGGGACUGAGACACGGCCCAGACUCCUACGGGAGGCAGCAGUAGGGAAUCUUCCGCAAUGGACGAAAGUCUGACGGAGCAACGCCGCGUGAGUGAUGAAGGCUUUCGGGUCGUAAAACUCUGUUGUUAGGGAAGAACAAGUACGAGAGUAACUGCUCGUACCUUGACGGUACCUAACCAGAAAGCCACGGCUAACUACGUGCCAGCAGCCGCGGUAAUACGUAGGUGGCAAGCGUUAUCCGGAAUUAUUGGGCGUAAAGCGCGCGCAGGCGGUUUCUUAAGUCUGAUGUGAAAGCCCACGGCUCAACCGUGGAGGGUCAUUGGAAACUGGGGAACUUGAGUGCAGAAGAGAAAAGCGGAAUUCCACGUGUAGCGGUGAAAUGCGUAGAGAUGUGGAGGAAC